CUUUAUUGGAGAAGACACUCUAGGAACCAACAUGUUUUCUUUCUUCCAAGGCCAUUGGAAGGAACAUGAGCUUUUAAUUUGAAGUAAAGAGUGCUGAUCCUGAGAAGAGUUUAAGGUCAGCUGAAUUUGUUUUUGGUCCAGUGGCGUUUUGGGAACAGCAGUCCCACAUCACAUGGCCAUCUCUCU